GUGUUGGCUUCAGCAGCACAUAUACUAAAAUUGGAACGAUACAGAGAAGAUUAGCAUGGCCCCUGAGCAAGGGGAAAUUCGUGAAGCGCUCCAAAUUAAA
ensembl:snRNA U6 U6 spliceosomal RNA